rnacentral:piRNA from 1 species
UGACAGCCAAAAUCAGAACACCACAUC